rnacentral:rRNA from 1 species
UAUAGGUCAAGCUACAAAGGGCGCAUGGUGAAUGCCUUGGCAUCAGGAGCCGAUGAAGGACGUGAUAAGCUGCGAUAAGCUUCGGGUAGGCGCACAUAGCCUGAGAUCCGAAGAUCUCCGAAUGAGGAAACUCACAUGGGAAACCCCAUGUAUCAUUAAGUGAAUACAUAGCUUAAUGAAGGUAACCCAGGGAAC